GCCGUCUUGGCGCAAUGGUAGCGCGUCGCUUUCCUAUCCAUGUGUGUUUAACAUGCAUUGAGGAGUGAGGCGGAGGUUGUGGGUUCGAGCCCCAUAGGCGGUA